UAAAUUGCCUCACUUCUCUCUCUCUCUCUCUCUCUCUCUCUCUCUCACCUCUCAACCAUGGCCUCAACAAUCAGGGAGGGGGAAAAAAUGAGACUGUUGGCACGGGAGUGAAGCUAAUAGAAGAAGCAUCACCGUCACCCAUCUCCACUCCAAUGAUGUCAGCUCCUCCAUUUCAUCUCCUCUCCUGUAUCUGCAUCAGAUCCCUUCGCAAAUCUAUGAUGGCGAUUUUGUGGCAGUAACUGUGGUGUUAGAUCUGGCGGUUUGGGUGGGUGUGAAUUUGUGAUGGUGGCAGUGCUAUGGCGACAAAGGCGCUUCACUCAGUGAAUGGGGAUGGCGGUUGUUGGCGAUGGCGGUGAUAAUGGACCUGGCGGUGGACGUGAGUUUUGUGGUGGUGCUUGCUGGCGAUGGUCCCUAUAGCAAUUUGUGUUGGUUACGGUGCUAUGGUGGCAGAGGAUCCUCAUACAGUGAAUGGGGAUGGUGGUUGUUGGCCAUGGUGGUGGAUUUAGCGGUGGAGUUGAGUUUUGUGAUAGCAGUUGUUGGCAAUGGUGGCAGAUGCUGGCAAUGAAUGAAAGUUUUGUUGGAUUGAAUGUAGACAAUGGCUUUGUUGGAUUUGGAGGUUGCGGUGAUUUUGUUGAUAUAGACAGUAGUGGUGGCGGUGGGCAAUGUCAUUGGUGGUGGUUGGCGGUGGUUCGGUGCUUUGGAGUGGUGUGAUGGGGUGUGGGUGUUUGGGACGAUUUUAUUGGUUGAUUGAAAGUUGUGAUCAAUAAAUUGAUUAAUUUGUAAUCAAUGUGGCUGUGGUUUUGGUGGUGCCGUUGGUGGUGGCGCUGUUGGAGAUGACGUUGAAGUGGUAGUCACAGAUUAUUUGGUUGUUUGUGGCCAGUGAAUUGGUUAAUCUGUGACCAAUAAACAAUAUGUGAC
rnacentral:lncRNA from 1 species